AAUUCUCAACCUUGAACUUGCUUUUUGCGAGCUCAAGGCUUGGAUGUGAGGGCUUUGCUGGCUUCCUUCAGUGGAUUGGUCUGCUCCCUUUAAAUGCAUUAGUGGGAUCCUUUGUGGAGCGUCACUUGGUGUGAUAAUUAUCUACGCCUCGUCGACUUUGAAGCAAACUUAUGGGAACCUGCUUAUAACCGUCUCGCAAGGGACAACUUUCUGACA
rnacentral:misc_RNA from 1 species